GAUGAACGCUAGCGGCAGGCUUAACACAUGCAAGUCGAGGGGUAGAGGCUUUAGGGCCUUGAGACCGGCGCACGGGUGCGUAACGCGUAUGCAAUCUGCCUUGUACUGGGGGAUAGCCCAGAGAAAUUUGGAUUAAUACCCCAUAGUAUUUUCGGUUGGCAUCAACUGAUUAUUAAAGUUUUUCGGUACAAGAUGAGCAUGCGUCCCAUUAGCUAGUUGGUAUGGUAACGGCAUACCAAGGCUACGAUGGGUAGGGGUCCUGAGAGGGAGAUCCCCCACACUGGUACUGAGACACGGACCAGACUCCUACGGGAGGCAGCAGUGAGGAAUAUUGGUCAAUGGUCGCAAGACUGAACCAGCCAUGCCGCGUGCAGGAUGAAGCAUCUAUGGUGUGUAAACUGCUUUUGUACGGGAAGAAACACUGCUACGUGUAGCAGCUUGACUGUACCGUAAGAAUAAGGAUCGGCUAACUCCGUGCCAGCCGCCGCUGUAAAAC
rnacentral:rRNA from 1 species